UUGAAAGGGAAACGAUUGAAGUCAGUCGUACCGACGAGAAAUCAACUUAUUGUGUGCGAACUUGUGGGCGUGCGUGAGUUUCGGCCUCGCUGUUUGCAUGUUUGUGCGUUUUGGGUGUACUUUUUCGUAUGGUAGGCCAACAUCAGUUUCGAUUACUAUAAAAUGACCGGCGGGAUGUAGCUUCGAUUUCGGUUGAAGUGUUAUAGCCUCUGGUAGAUGUGGUGAUUGGAACUGAGGAUUGCAACGAAUAUCCUUUGGGCUAUCCGUCUGAUCUCUGAAAGUUGCUCAGGUGCCGAAAGCGUGCUUACGGUCAUCUAAGUUGACGGUCAACAGGUUAGAACGUGAUUACAUUCGUUAAGGAUGUUGACGUA
rnacentral:rRNA from 1 species